CAUCCUGCGAACAGAAAACGCAAGCAUCAUUGCAAUUGCUUGUCGUUCCACGUGCCGAUUUACUGAAAGCUCUUUCACGAGGAGUCGAAGGAUUCCACGAACGAUUCAAUUAUUUUUAUUUUUCGAAAACAAACCAGCAAAUCUUGGCAGAGAUACAAAGGUUUCCUCUUUCUGGUUUAGUUUCUUUCUAUGUUAGUCUGUAAGAUGAAAGGUAAGGUUGCAGCAAACGAUAGUAUGGAAUUUUUCGAUCGACAAUUAUAUUACGUAACAUAGUAAACGAUUAACUACCAUUAAAUUGGUGACUCCUUAAGGUCGUGAAGUUCUUCGAGAUUGUUUAUGAGAACCGAAAUGAAGCUCCGGCUCGAGAUUUUCUAAUCGAAGACAGACGUGUACUCGCCUGUGGGGCUUCGUGAAAACCGCUGAACAACUGAACAAUUUAAUGGCGCCACGGAGAACGAUCAGUAUCAAUCUAAAUGCAGAUGAACCACGAUUAUUUAUAGACAGCUUGUACACUGAAUUCCAAACCGUCCUAUAUAGGAAACUUUUUCUUUGCCAACUAUUCGAUCAGGCUAGACAUCUCUGUCACAGCUUCCUACCUACUUUUUAACAAUCUUUUCACCUACCAAGAAAAUUCGUAGCUUGCUCUUUGUAAGCAAAAAAUCAGGGCAAGCUGUUUUGUCUGCGUCGCUCGAUAAAACGUUCGAGAAGCCCGCGUUUAACCGGAUCGUUUGACGCUGUACGAUGCAGCCGGUAUAACGUUCUACUUUUAGUUAUCAUCGCGCUGCUGGAGUAAAAGGUUAUCGUGUUAAGGAUACGUGUCGACGUGGCUUGCUUUAAAAGCAACCGAGCCAACCAGGCUUUGAAAUCCUGGGAUGGGCGAGGCCAACCAGAUAUCCGGACAGGAAGUUUGCGGGAAGUGCAAAGACGUUCCGCUGAUAGUACUUAGCGUCCGUGAUGAUGGACGGAAAUGUUAACCGUUACUAGCAUAACAUAGCAAUUUGUUAGAGGAAUACAGUAGCUCAUGAAGGUAUAUAUGUAUUUGCAUACUCGUAGAAACCUUUCCGAAUACAUUAUGUGCGUUGUAUAACACAAAUUUUUUGAUAUAUGACACGAUAUCACGUUUCUAUCGAAGUAUUUGAAGUAUCAAUACGGUUAUCAUUUUUAUAUUGUUGAAAUUUAGCACAAUUUGAUGUUGUAUAGCGUACGAUAUGAUAAGACUAUCACGGUCAUGAUAAAGACCCAAACAAAAAUGUUGAGUUUGAAGAUUGAGGAGUUAAGGAAAUGUUCCAUGAAAAUGUAUAAGAGCAAUAAGAUAUUUGUUAGAAACAUAGUACGUACAACAUUGAUGAGCCUCAAUAUUUAAUACGACCAUUGUUUUAUGGAUUUAUAUCCAUUUUUUUAACAAGUAUAUAUUAGUAGUAAAUGUUUUCUAAGUUUCAUAUACGCUUCCAGGUUGAUUUCAAAUUCUGUCAGUAUAAUCAUGAUAGUACUAAUGAAAUGAUACGUUUUGUAUAAUACACAUAAUACAUCGUUCAAAUAUUUCGUGAGUCACUGUAUGCAGAAGAAUAACACAUUGUAAUACGAAAUAAGAAGAGAGUACAAAAUGAAAGAAUGAGACAGGAGGUAUGUACAAAUUUCUCUGGCAAUUUAACUUUAUAAUUUAUAAUUUCGAACGUUAAUCGUUCGACUCGGUAGUAAAUUCUUCCGAAAAUUAUUUCAAGACGGAUCUAUUAUCUGAUAAUUCGAGUUUAAUUAACUCCAAGCCAGGAGAUUCUGCUCGUCGACAAGUAAUGUGAAUCAUAGUUAAUUACUGAUUUAUCUUUCGAAAAGGCGAGAACUCGUUCGAAAAUGCUAUCCCUCCUGGUGGCUCACUUUUUCUCAUCUUUUUCUGCGUCCGAAAGAUCCUUUGCUGUUCGUGACGAGGCGUAAAACGAUGCGAACGAAGAAAAGCUGAUCCGUGGGUGGCACCGACCGAUAAGGUGAUUUCUUGUAGGCGGAUCUCGCGUUCUGCGCGCUGAAUAAAGCGAUAAAUCCUGCGCAGAUAAUUCGAUGGCUGUUCGAACGACAUGAAAGCCAGCGGUACUUUAUACCGUUUGAUAAGACGAGAAAUUACGUAUCAAUGCCAAAAUAGCACAGUAAACUGAAUUAUCAUAGAAUAUUAUUUUCAAUGUGUACGUCCAUAAGAAGUAAUACCAGCUAACAACCAACAUUUAUGUAACUUCCUGCGGAUGUGUGAGAAUCUCCAGAGUCUCGGUAAACGUUCAAAUGGUACAUUAUUUUUUAUCUUACUUAUUUGUCAAAUUACUCUUAGUGAUUGGUCGUUUGUAACAUCGAUAAAAUCUUUUUUUACUACGCUUGUGAAAUUAACGGCGAUUAGGAUCGUAGGCGGCAAUUUAUUAACAACAACCUCUAGAGGCACGAAGAAGGAGAAAUUCCAGAAACAAUAUCCCGACUUUUAUGUGACCGUUCGCAGAGGAGCUCAGGACUUAACCUCCGUAACCCGAUAAGCGCCCAAAUGAGACCUUUACGACGUCACGUCGUUCCAAACCAACGACCCUUUUGACCCAACUGGAGUUACUCUAUCGACGAGUUGCUUCACCACGUGGCAACCAAACUUCUCGUAACAUUCGCCACGAGUGCCUCAUGCUAUUCGCGAUAAUCUCCACUUUAUCUUCGUAUUCCCUAUCGGAAGAUCUGGCAUGAGAUAAAGAGGAAUCUGGAAAAUUAUUGGACCUAGAUUCGAAUCUCCAUCCAUCCCAUUUAUCAUUUCUUGAAUAGCCACUCCAACCUAGGUAGAUAUUGAAACUCUUCCACUUUAUCUUUGGAACUUCCGAUCGCAUAAAUUUUCUUAGAUAACGUUGGAUACAAAAAAAAGAAAAACGACGUGAAAUGACUCACGCGUUCAUUUAAAAUUUAGACGACAUUUUUUUUACGACAUUUUUUUACGACAACGACAAAAACUAGUAAGUUCAAAAUGUCGAGAAUGGUCAAUGGUCGAAAUCAAUUUAAGUGAAUGAGUAAUAUACAAAUGAAUGUUUAACUACAGAAACAAUCACUAAAAAAUGGUAUAUAAUGAGAUUCUUCGUAGGUAACUUUGAAUAGUUGCGAAUAUCCGGAAUUUCUGUAAAUAGUAAACGUAGUACGCUGCGAAAAUUCAAUUUAUAACAAUUUAGAUAUCGAUCGCAUAACAAGUGCUUUCUUUCUCCAUAGUUUUACGACAUAAAUGCUUCCAGGAUUCCACAAAUCCAUAGGUCUCGAUCAACUUAACUUGUAUAUGAGUCACAUCCAAAAAAUCUCAAUAAUCUACAAGACAUCCAUGUUGAGAUCGAAUGAAAUAACGAACAGGUCUACCUCGACAUCGAAUCUUGUUGAAUUAAUCUCGAUAUCCUUGCUCGUUCCUAUCGCGUUCUCUUUCACGAAUGGCACCUUGGUUUUCGCGAAGGCCGCUCCGAAUAACUGGUUACUAAGCGUGGAUAGAAAUAUUCUUGAUCGAGCAACACGCGAAAAAGCAUGCGUCAAUUCAUUUCUGCUUCGCGAUCGUGGGCGUUGCGUUCCGAUUCAAAGCUUUCCCAACUUUUUUUCUCCUUCUUCCUUUUUAGUUUCUCUCUCGAACUGCUCUUAGCGAUCGAAAGACUAAAAACACCGACAAGGAUGCUCGACCGGGAUCUCCUCGAUUACUUCCUGCUCGAAUGCCUGUAUCGAAGCUCGUCGGAAACUGGGUCAUUUUUUGCCUCCGUUGUCGACCGUUCGCAUAAAUUACACCAACUCGCGAGUAGUGAAAAAUAUGUCACGUUACGCCGAGGAACCGACUGCCGUCUUAAUAUACGAGGUGAGCGAUAAUUCGUAGCGCAGAUACAAUGGAACUCCCUUUGUAAGAACGAAACUUUAGUUAGCGCCCGAUCAAUCGAUUCUGUGCACUUUCUGCACUUUCUUCUUUCCCAACAGUUUAAAAACACAAGCAUAAUGAAUUUCGAAGAAUACACAGUUUAAAAAGAAACUGAUAAUACACGUGGACUUGACUCAUAUCACUGAUAUCACGCAGUGUAUUAUUUCUGCCGCUGUUUAUAUAUAUGUUUCUUUUUGUAUAGAUAAAAUGGUUUAUACAGUGUUAGAGCUUAUUUGUCGAGCUAUUUGUUCGAAAUGUUGACUAUUGAUAUUAGAAUAGAUGAUUCGUUAUCAUCACCUAUUCUUAUUGUAUUCACCGAAAAAGUAAUUACUAGAUAAAUAUUGAUAGCAAAUAAGCCUUAUAUUUGAAGUGGCAAUCUAUAAUCAAAUUCCAAACGUCAAUUAUCGAUGAGGUGUAUUCGAUUGACUUUCAAAUGCAUCUUUCUCCGAAAGAACCUUCAAUGCAAUUCUGUUAUUCUCUGCUUUUGCCUUAUUUUCGGCCAUAGAAUCUUCCUCACUCCACUUAUACCACGAUUUAUGGACGAUGAUAUAUAAACCGGUGCGCAGUGCAGUUCCGGUUACAACGGAGAAAUCUUUGAUGUCUAAAAAAGAAAAAAGAAGAAGGGAUUCGCCUCACGUCGAGUGAAAUAUAACAAAGUAUUCCGAAUAAGUUGACUCCGUUGACUUCCGGUGCUUCAAGUCCCGUACACACAAAGCAUGCUUCAAAAUUAUGUAGAUUAUAAAUGACCCAAUUCCCAUCUCGCAGAUUGUACUCGCAACUGUUGCCGUCCUUCGACGAUUAAUCUACUUCUGUCAUGCAAGUGUAACUCGCGGAAAAUGCUAUUUUCCGUUUGUCGAAUAAAGAAGCAAAUAAAAUGAUAAAUGCGUCA